AUGAAGUUCCCAAAAUGCAGAGCCCUGUGGCCCUUAACUCAAGCAGCGUGCGCUGUUUGCCAUCCCCAGACCGGGGCUUCACUCCCAGUGCUCCCAGUCCCCUCCCAGAGCAUCCCGGCGCCCCUGGGAGCGCUCCAGGAGCCGGGAGCGGCCGCUGGCUGUGCCCAUUUCCCACCCCCAGCCCAAGGAGCCGACCCCCGGCCGGGGCAUUUUCACUUUCAGUUUCCCCGGGAUUUACGGGAAAUCAGUGCAGAAGCGAGAAAGGAGGUGCUGGGGGGCGGGAGGAGCCCGUGGGGGUGGAUCGGGAGCGGCAGGGUGAGAUAUAACCGGGAUACAGCGGGGAGGGGGGGGAGAGUGACCCCCACCGCGGAGCUGCUUCUUCCCUGCCUUGCCCCAGGAAAGAAGGAGGAGAACUUUGCAAGGGUCCUGUUAUCUAGGAUGGAGAAAGAAAUCCAGGUAUUCUCCCAGAGAAUUAAAACUCUGCAAGAAGAUGUACAAGAAUGGCCAGAGACCACAAUGUAUGAGCUUGAUCUUCUCAGAGCACAGCUGGAAGGAAAGGAAGAGGAGGAAAUUUCAAGGGCCCUGUCAUACAGGUUGAAUCUGAAAUUCCAGCAGCUCUUCCAAGAAAUUAAAACUUUGGAAGAAGAUUUAGAGGAAUUGCUGAAGUUAUCACAAAAUGAGUUUCAGCUUCUCAGUGCAGACCAGAAGUAACAAGAGCCCAUGUGCCCUUGAACCUUGGGAGGUGGACACUUCAGGGAGAGAAGACAAUAGGAUUGGGAGAGCCCCAGAGGAAGAGCUUAAAGGAAUCUUGGGCUUAGGCCCUGGGCAAGGCCUUGUCCCUGUCCUCUGUCUCAGGAGUGCUCAGUCUGUCCUGGUGUGGCUUCUGUCAACUCCAGCUUGCUAUGAACAGUGUCUCUUUCCCUGGACAAAGCAUCUCAGGACUUUGAUCAUUCAUACUCCACUAUACUUUGGGCUUUGGGCGCUUUGGCAGGGAAAGGAGAUCAGAGACUUCUUGGUCUUUUUGAAGUGUAAAGGCCCAGUGUCGUUACUGAUUCAAGGUGUCCCCUCAGGACAGACAAGGUCACUGUCCCAGUGAUGCUGAUCCUUCCUCUCAGGAAGGACAGUGGAGCCUGUCAAGUGUCCCCAUGGGCAACUGGUGCAGGAAAGUGGCCUUUCUUCCCUGGGAUCUCCUUCUCUGUGAAAGCCCAUCUCCUUUUUAGUCCAUGGUCUGGCCAUUCUCCUGGUCUCUCUUUCCCAUGUGAAAAUUAAGGAGAGGCUGUGUCGCCCUGAAAGCUCCGCUUCUGAGCUUGCUGACAUGGUUUUCUAAGGACUUUCCCAGGACAGUAACUGUAAACAUAGAUAUGUGUACAUUCUUUCUGUUACAUGUCUUGUGAUGGGCAUUUCUUAUGGCCAGUGCAGUGAGAAAGUGUUAUCCUGACCAUCCAAUCCCUGGCCAUGGUCACAAGCCUAUAAAUCCUUGGAAUGAAAAUAAACUCUGCUCUUUCUGCA
rnacentral:lncRNA from 1 species